rnacentral:pre_miRNA from 1 species
UAAAGGCUCAGAGCUUAGCUAAUUGGUGAGCACUGGUCCCUUCAAUGUUCUGUUCACAGUGGCUAAGUUCAGCGUCUGCA